rnacentral:rRNA from 1 species
GACGAACGCUGGCGGCGUGCCUAAUACAUGCAAGUCGAACGCAGUGGGGACGGGUGAGUAACACGUGGGUAACCUCCCAUCAGAGGGGAUAACACUUGGAAACAGGUGCUAAACCGAUACUGAUGGAUGGACCCGCGGUGCAUUAGCGAGUGGGUAAGGUAACGGCUCACCAAGGCCACGUGUCAUGGCCAACCUGAGAGGGUGAUCGGCCACACUGGGACGCAGACACGGCCAGGACGCCUACGGGAGGCAGCCGUGGCGAAUCUUCGGCAAUGGACGAAAGUCUGACCGGUCAACGCCGCGUGAGUGAAACAGGUUUUCGGAUCGUAAAACUCUGUUGUUAGGGAAGCGGUAUCUAACCAGAAAGCCACGACUAACUACGUGCCAGCAGCCGCGGUAAUAC